rnacentral:rRNA from 1 species
GACGAACGCUGGCGGCGUGCUUAACACAUGCAAGUCGAACGGUGAAGCGCCUUCCUUUUUGGUGGGUGUGGAUGAGUGGCGAACGGGUGAGUAACACGUGAGUAACCUGCCCCCUUCUUCUGGAUAACCGCAUGAAAGUGUGGCUAAUACGGGAUAUUCUGGGUCUGUCGCAUGAUGGGUCUGGGAAAGAUAUUGUUUCGGUGGGGGAUGGGCUCGCGGCCUAUCAGCUUGUUGGUGGGGUGAUGGCCUACCAAGGCGGUGACGGGUAGCCGGCCUGAGAGGGUGGACGGUCACAAUGGGACUGAGACACGGCCCAGACUCCUACGGGAGGCAGCAGUGGGGAAUAUUGCACAAUGGGCGCAAGCCUGAUGCAGCGACGCCGCGUGAGGGAUGGAGGCCUUCGGGUUGUGAACCUCUUUCGCAAGUGAAGCAGGCCUGCCUCGUUUGUGGGUGGGUUGACGGUAGCUGGAUAAGAAGCGCCGGCUAACUACGUG